GUGUCCGGCUUCUCGGACAGGGGGUUCCUACACUUAGGCAGAUUCUGCAUGUAUAGGGGGGAACUCCCUCGGAGUUGAACCGGAGAGAAACUUGAGAUCAUAUGUGAUGAUCCUUGUUUCCAAAUGUACAUAUGACCUAACCAAGCUCAAAUGGAGGCAUAUGCCCACCGGGGGAGCCCCGAUGGGAUGCAGUCAAAGGGGUAGACCGCGCGGUCAACAGAACUAGGGUUUCGUCAAAAAUCAAGCAUCGGAUCUAGGGAAUGGCCCCAAAACUUGUGUGUGUCCACAUGGAAUGCACAAAAGUGAUUUGAGAUGGUUCUAUAUCCAAGGCUACCCCCCCAGGUGUGUCCGGCUUCUCGGACAGGGGGUUCCUACACUUAGGCAGAUUCUGCAUGUAUAGGGGGGAACUCCCUCGGAGUUGAACCGGAGAGAAACUUGAGAUCAUAUGUGAUGAUCCUUGUUUCCAAAUGUACAUAUGACCUAACCAAGCUCAAAUGGAGGCAUAUGCCCACCGGGGGAGCCCCGAUGGGAUGCAGUCAAAGGGGUAGACCGCGCGGUCAACAGAACUAGGGUUUCGUCAAAAAUCAAGCAUCGGAUCUAGGGAAUGGCCCCAAAACUUGUGUGUGUCCACAUGGAAUGCACAAAAGUGAUUUGAGAUGGUUCUAUAUCCAAGGCUA